CCCAAAGUUCUUGAGGGCCCAGAGUUUUUAAAAAUAUCCUAUAUACUAUUUGUUUCUGUAACUGUUAUUGGGCCUUUACAAGUUAAUAACUGGUAACCAGAAUUGAUCAAGCGAACAGGCAGCGGCAGCGCACACACAAAGCUUAUACGAAGCGACGAACAGAGGAACAGGCAGCGGCCAGCCGGCCACGAAAUCAGUAUUCGGAACGACAGAGGAACGGCGAUUUUGUUUAUUGUAAAAAACGCCCACGAAAUCAGUGAUUUACUGUUCAGCAUCGGUGAUUGUUUAUUCGGGUUGUAAUCGCUUUAUGUUCAUGUGUGAUUCGGGUUGUAAUCGCUUUACUCAUAAGUUGAAGUUUCUCAAAGUUGAAGUUGUUGAAGACUUACUUACGAUCGAGUAUGUCCCAAGAAAGACUCAAUGGCUUAGCAAUGAUAUCUAUUGAAAACGACAUAUUAGAGACUAUGGAUUACGAAGACUUGAUCGAAAGCUUUGCUUCCAGAAACGCUAGGAGAGCCGCACGAUUCGCUUAAGUUGGUAAUUUUAGAUCAUUUUGGUACAAUACUUUUAUUUUGAUGAUUGUUUUAACAAUUAGUGUCAUAUUAUAGUUUUUUUAUAUAUGAUUAUUGUGUUUAAACUAUAUGGGCCCGGUUUAUUUUUAGUGGCUCCAGGCUCAAAACAUUUCGAGAUUUCUCGGAGACGGCACUGCUGAAACAAGUAGACCUUGUGAACCUAAUUUCACUUUGGGCACCAUUGUUGUAUCUUAAUUUUGGAAUAAUUUAAGGGAAGAUGAUGAAGUCAUUGGUAACGUCAAUGCCCUGAACGAUAUUUUUUAAUAGAACACAUUAUUAUUCA